rnacentral:lncRNA from 10 species
AAACAUCAGGAGUAGACAAGACUGCCUGUUACUGUGUAGCACUCGAUCCAUUUCUGUUUUGAUUUGGAGAUGAUAAAUUAAGGAAACUCUUCUUGGGUGAAGCACAAAGGAGAUUCUUGCAAGAUUUGGAAGACCUAGGGAAGGAAGUGACAUUUUAUGGCUGACCUAUGCUGUUGCUGAUCUGCUGCAUCAUUUCAAUGGCAUAAAGCAGCAUCUAGAUCUGCGGUUGUUUAGCCUUUUCUGGAUUCAUCUUCAGUUUUUUGACCCCUGAGCCAGACUCAGAGUUCACCUCCUCCAGGAAGCCUUCCUUGAGACGCCAUUGCUCACCUGGCUCUACUUGCUUGACCAGAAGUACUUUAAAGAUUAUAUCUUUACAUUUUGUAUCUGCAGGACUUGAAAUAUAAUGAACAUUCCAGACAUAAUUGAUGAAUAAAAUAACAUCCAAUCCCUUCAUUUUAUAGAUUGGUUGAUGAAGACCUUGGACUUUUGGCCAAGAUUGAACAUCUACAGUGGAGAUUAUUUAGUGCUGUUUUCUAUUCACAGGCCUAGCCACUCCAACCUGUCUGUUGUCUUUACAUCAUAGGACUUUACCCAAGGUGCACUCUAUAAUACAUGCCAGUCCAAAUAUACAUUCUGACAGACAAUCUAGCUGCCCACAUCUGUCAGAUGGCUCUUUCUGUGACAACUGAGGAUAAGAAUUUUUUUCUUUAAGAAUUAGAGCUAAAUAUUAUGAAAUAUAAUCUAGACUUCAAGAAACUUUGACAGUUACCUGUAUCACCGUCUGUGGAUGAAUAAAAAUCUCUUUGACAUCUAAGACAAAAUGGCCAUUCACCAUCUAUCUGAAAAUUCUAGUGAGGACAGCCAUACUUUCUGAGGCAUGUUGAAUGGCUAACAUUUUAGAAUUCUUCCUUACAUUGGCUGAAAUAUGACUGAAGUUUCACAGAUUUACCCUUAUUCCUCAUGAUAAAAGUACAGAAGUUUGUUAAGUGUCCUUGGUGACAGGUUGGUCAAGAUUGGACCUUCCAUAGGAUUACUUAGUCUCACAUCCCCUCAUGGCUACGGAUCUCAUAAGGAUGGGUCUGAACAUCAAAAAUAUCACUGUUUUUAUUCAGGUACUGACAGCGCCAUAUAAAUAUGGCUUAAAGCAUGGCUAUAAGAAGAGUGAAUAUUCUAAUGACCUGUCUUGAGUGAAGCUGAUGAGACUGUAUUUUGAGUCUUACUGUACCUGUUAAGGCUAUGCAGCGUAUUUAGAGAGAAAUGUGGAAUUUGUUAUAUAAAGGUAAGUUUAAAUAGGGUGCUAAUAUCUAUGAAGGUCAACUUUGUUAAUUCAACACAAAUAAAAAUCCAAGCCAUGGUCAUUCAGCACACAUAAAGUCUAAGUAAUUUCAAAUAAAAUUACUGCUUGGCUGAAUGCUUAAGCAAUUUUGGAUUGCUGGAGUGAAUCAAAGAAUACUCAUAAUGUAAGCUCAUUAGAUUCACAGAGAGAUAUGCUGAUUUAAUUCAAGUGUUCUGCUGUCCAUUUAAACUUCACCUUCUUUUCUUACUUUGGAUUACUAGAUGUUUUUGUUAAUCUUAUUUGACAAGCUGCAUCUAGUCUUAUGAAUUUAACCUUUUUGUGAAUUGUCUUUGCUAUUAAAAAUUCUGUAACUGUCAAUCACUUGAAUCAUGUGGAGUUAUGAAAAAUGUCUGAUCCUUGAAUGUAUAUCUUUUCUCUCUCCAUCUGUAAUAUCUUACUAUGUACAGAAUAAAUUAGAAACUUAUCUGUGAUGUUAAUAUUUCUGAUAGCUUAAAUAUGUCACUUUACAUACGAUUUAUAUGUAAAAUGAUUUCUAAAUAUGAUAAAAUGUAUCCCAGACUUAAUAGAGGUUUAGCUGAUAUUUUGGCUCAGCUUUUAUUUUUUUAAUUAAUUAAUUAAUUAAUUAAUUAAUUAAUUUGUUUUUGAGACAGAGUCUUGCUCUGUCACCAGGCUGGAGUGCAGUGGCACGAUCUCAGCUCACUGCAACCUCCACCUCUUGGGUUCAAGCGAUUCCCCUGCCUUAGCCUCCCAAGUAGCUGGGAUUACAGGCAUGCACCACCACGCCUGGCAAAUUUUUUGUAUUUUAGUAGAGACGGGGUUUCACCAUGUUGGCCAAGACACUCUCGAUCUCCUGACCUCGUGAUCCACCCACCUCGGACUCUCAAAGUGCUGAGAUUACAGGCGUGAGCCACCACGCCCGGCCAGCUUUUAUUUUAUAGUUUGGUGUUUCUAUGGGAGAUUUAGGGGGAAACCUUAGUUUCUUCUUUUGUCACAUAAUGUUUCCCGCCAUAUAGGAAAAGAUAAUAUUUUAAAAAAUUACAAAAUUACCCUAAAAAGGAGUUCCCUUUUCUUAAGAUACAUACAAGUUUUCACUCAGAAAAGUUGAAUAUUUUAUAUAUAUCUCCGGGAUUUUAGAUUUUUCACUUCAUGGACUGCAUGAUAAAUCUCAUUAAAUCCAUUUGAGAAAAGGUCUGUUCCUCUGUUUAAGAAUUGUUUGAAGACUUUGCAGGAAAUGAUAGUGUGGUAGUAGAUAAAUUCUAUCCCCUGCUUCACCUCUAACCACUGCACUCUUAGACCACGGACAACUUAUAAAAAUAAACUAUCACGUUGUAUUCAAUUAUUCAGGCAAGUGGAGGUUGUAAACCACCCUCUCCCUAAUUUCUCUGCCUCCAACAUAUUAAAACUACCACAUCUUGGCUCCAAGGAUUCAUGGACUGUUGAAUUUGCCCCUACCAAGCAGAGAUGGUGGACAGCAUUAUGAAUAAUAGCUGAUUUUAUUUUAAGUGGGAAUAAAGAGAACUAUAAAAAUCCUUUAACUGUUCCCUCCUACUUAUUAGUGUCUCAAAAUUUUUGACUCAUAACACAUAGAAAAAUCACAAGAUUUGCUUCAAAACAAAAAUAUUAAAAUAUUAAAACCCCAAGUGCAUGGUUUUCUAUAACGUAAUUCAGUUAUUGUAAACUCUGCUUUGUCUCAUAGGAAUACAGUUAUUCACUAAGAACCUUCAGAAGAAAGGAAAAAUAAACAUAUAAAUGUUAAGAUUUGUCCCAUUUCAUACCUCAUCUAGCAUGGUUUUUUUUCAAAUUACUACAUACAUGGCCCUUUUUUUUGCUAGAACUCUUUCCCCUGGAGACUGAAUUGUAGAGAUAACACAGAAUGGAAUGAUUUUUAUUUUAUAAUUAAAGACAGCUUCUUGGGUGUUAUAAUAAUGGUAAAAUAUAGACUGUGUCUAAAGCAAAAUACAGCAAACAAAUGCAAUAUUGGGGCUAUCUGGGCUUAAAAUGCAUUUUCUAUUGUAAUUACCUAACCAUUUCAGCAAAAAAGGGAAUUUUAUUAAGAUUUGAGUUAACUCAUUUAAUCUGGCCAUCUAUCGUUGUCAUUUUAAAUAUCCAUUUCAUUUUGAGUAUUUGGGCACACAUUUUGUUUAUAGGUACAUGGGAAAAUCUAGCACAUAAUUAAUAUAUUAAACUGGCUGUCUUUAUAUCACAACAUAGUCUAUUUAAUCUAUUAUGUUGUUUAACCAAAACCAAACUAUAAAAAGCAAGCAUGGAUAUAGUAGAUUUUUUCUCAGAAAAAAAGCUUGACUAUUAUUUUUAUGAAAUUGCAAAGAAUUACAAUAUUCUUUCACACUGCGUUUCAAGAAAAUGAGCAAAGGAUAUUUAUAGACAUGUUUUUGAUAGAUACCCCAGUGACAACGGAAGUCACUUUUAAAUUAUAAGGUAAAAUGUGAAACUAAUAGAUAAAAUUUGACAUGUUAAGAGUUGCAUCUUCCUCAAAUAUAAAGAUAAGAACCAAUGUAGUUUGAAAAUAGCAAAAGCGCUUUCACUAUCCUAUGGACAGAUAUUUUGGAAAACCUAUUACUUUUACCAAUUAAAUUUAAAACUGCACUGCCUGGUUGUUUCUUUGUUUAUAUAUUUGUAUUCCAUCUUAUUUUAAUAAAGUUUUAAGAGGAA